UCAUUGCCUUUUCUUGCUCGUUGGGGUUCGCCAUUUUAUUUUUGCACCAAGUUGCUGUGACUUUGGGGUGUUAGAGGAAGUGGAAGUGGCGAUGUUUAUAAACAAGAAAAUCAAGUGGAAGUAGAAACGUUAAAGUGCCUUUAAGAUAGAUACAUGCUUCUUUCUUGACUCAAAUCGAGUCCCAAGACUUGUUGUUGGCCUCUCGACUACUGU